CCUACGGGAGGCAGCAGUGGGGAAUAUUGCACAAUGGGGGAAACCCUGAUGCAGCGACGCCGCGUGAGUGAGGAAGUAUUUCGGUAUGUAAAGCUCUAUCAGCAGGGAAGAAAAUGACGGUACCUGACUAAGAAGCCCCGGCUAACUACGUGCCAGCAGCCGCGGUAAUACGUAGGGGGCAAGCGUUAUCCGGAUUUACUGGGUGUAAGGGGAGCGUAGAAGGCUAAUCAAGUCAGAAGUGAAAACCAAGGGCUCAACCUUGGGAGUGCUUUUGAAACUGAGUAGCUAGAGUGCAGGAGAGGUAAGCGGAAUUCCUAGUGUAGCGGUGAAAUGCGUAGAUAUUAGGAGGAACACCAGUGGCGAAGGCGGCUUACUGGACUGUAACUGACGUUGAGGCUCGAAAGCGUGGGGAGCAAACAGGAUUAGAUACCCGGGUAGUC
rnacentral:rRNA from 1 species